AUAAGCCUUGGUGAAAAUCUCAACAAAAACUCUCUUUUCGAUUUAUGUCAGUUAUCUUCUCCAAUUCCCUUUCUACUUAAGCGAAUCACCAUUGUUGUUCUUUGAUCAUAUCCAAAUAACACAAAAGCCUAUUCAUUCUCAAACGGCGCAGAUGCAGAUCUGAAAUUUGGGUUAAAAACUUAAUUUCAGUUUUUCAUGAGUUUUUGAUCUAUCUCCAGCAACAAAGGUAGCACCGAUUAUUAUUAAAAGUUGUUCCCCAUGUAUUGGAAAAAUGGUGGAUUUUCAAUCUGAUUCGAAUUUUGAUGAAGAGGAUUCGACAGAGUUUGUCAUUGUCUAAGGAUGAUUCUGAUCGUGAAGAUGUUAUUAACGAGAAUGAAUAUGAAAUACCAGAGGAAACCAUUGAAGGCAGUAGAAAUGAUGAUGACAAGAGAUGUAGGUUCGACGAUUCUUAUGUUGUGAAUUGUUUGGAAGACAUUUCAAGUAUUAACUUCAAAGAAUUAAGUUCAGAAGAUGUUAAGAGAUACCAUUUUGUAGAUGUUGCUGUAGCAUUUACUUUUUAUAAUUGGUAUGCUAGCUGUCAUGGGUUUGCUGCAAGAAAAAGCAUGGUAAUGAGAUGCAAAAGUGGUGAACUAACUCAACAGACACUUGUUUGUUAUCGACAAGGGUUUAUAGAGGAAAAAAGUUGCAGCUCAUUAACUAGAAAGCGAGUACCGAAAGCUCGUGUGAGAUGUGGUUGUGAAGCAAAAUGUUGUGUUCACAUUGAUAUCAAUCCUCAUAAAGACAAAAUUAAAUUAAAGUACAUCUUUACAUCAAAAUAAAAUAAAAAUUGAAGUACACAUUUAAGCAUCAGAGUAAAACAAGGACCAUGUCAAUAAAGUUGAUU